rnacentral:rRNA from 1 species
GACAGAGGGGGCAAGCGUUGCUCGGAAUUACUGGGCGUAAAGCGCACGUAGGCGGCUUUCUAAGUCGGGGGCGAAAUCCUGGAGCUCAACUCCAGAACUGCCUUCGAUACUGGAGAGCUCGAGUCCGGGAGAGGUGAGUGGAACUGCGAGUGUAGAGGUGAAAUUCGUAGAUAUUCGCAAGAACACCAGUGGCGAAGGCGGCUCACUGGCCCGGUACUGACGCUGAGGUGCGAAAGCGUGGGGAGCAAACAGG